UACGAAGGGGGCUAGCGUUGUUCGGAAUUACUGGGCGUAAAGGGCGCGCAGGCGGCCCUCCAAGUCAGGCGUGAAAGCCCCGGGCUCAACCCGGGAACAGCGCUUGAGACUGGGGGGCUUGAGUUCGGGAGAGGAGAGUGGAAUUCCACGUGUAGCGGUGAAAUGCGUAGAGAUGUGGAGGAACACCAGUGGCGAAGGCGACUCUUUGGCCUGUAACUGACACUGAGGCGCGAAAGCGUGGGGAGCAAACAGG
rnacentral:rRNA from 1 species